UGUGGCCGUGAAGACCCC
rnacentral:misc_RNA from 1 species